CUUUGGUGAUACAACCCUGACCUGGUUUCUGCAAGGCCACUCAAGGCCUGAGGACCAUCAGACCGUGAAGAUCCGGAGAUCAAAACUGUUCAAUAAUUCGCCCAAAGUCACAAAACUGGGUUGGCUGUGAGGAAACAUCAAUAUUCCUUACAGAGAGAACUCACCGGAUUCCUUAAAGGGAGCUUAUUCUUCAUUCUCCCCUUUCUACUUUGAAGACAAUGUGAAAUAAUCUGUCUUCUGGUGACAUGAUUGAGGGAAAACGCUGUGUCCAGUUCUCUCAAGUCCACCCCUAUAGGUAUUCUGGCUCUAGGUAAAUGCCUACUAGGUCUCACCUAAUAUACUUACAGUGACCAAGACUUUAGAUAUCAUUAUGGGGAACACUGUGGGAAAAUGAGACUGGGGCAUGGAGAUCACUUAAGGACCAGAUUGAUUUAGAUAAAUUGAUUUAGAUAAAAGUUGUCCAUGAGAACAUGAAGAGUUUCAGGGAGGAUCUGAUGUCAUAACUUUGAGAGAAGCAUCACAAGUGAUAUACUCCCACCAACUCUCCUGGCUCUCCCUUCAGUGCACCCCUCAAUCCAAGGAUAACCAUGAGCAGCUCAGAGUUCCCGGCACCCCAGGCGGGCAGGAAUGUGUAGGGCACCGUCUACGAGGGAACAUCUACCCUGUUGGAGACCCUGAUCCCAAAUAGCGAAGUGUGGGUCAAAGAAGACAUCUAAGCGAAAGCUGUUCAAUUUCUCUGACUUCAUGAAUUCAUGGACAGUAGCUCUCAGAAGCACACUAGAACUCUGUUCUGCCCUUAAACACUUGACACCACAACUCCUCCGGUGAGCAGAUAAGAAAACUAAGCAAGAAGUUUAGUUGUAUCUCCUGAAUUGUAAU